rnacentral:rRNA from 1 species
AGAGUUUGAUCAUGGCUCAGAUUGAACGCUGGCGGCAGGCCUAACACAUGCAAGUCGAACGGUAACAGGAAGAAGCUUGCUUCUUUGCUGACGAGUGGCGGACGGGUGAGUAAUGUCUGGGAAACUGCCUGAUGGAGGGGGAUAACUACUGGAAACGGUAGCUAAUACCGCAUAACGUCGCAAGACCAAAGAGGGGGACCUUCGGGCCUCUUGCCAUCGGAUGUGCCCAGAUGGGAUUAGCUUGUUGGUGGGGUAACGGCUCACCAAGGCGACGAUCCCUAGCUGGUCUGAGAGGAUGACCAGCCACACUGGAACUGAGACACGGUCCAGACUCCUACGGGAGGCAGCAGUGGGGAAUAUUGCACAAUGGGCGCAAGCCUGAUGCAGCCAUGCCGCGUGUAUGAAGAAGGCCUUCGGGUUGUAAAGUACUUUCAGCGGGGAGGAAGGGAGUAAAGUUAAUACCUUUGCUCAUUGACGUUACCCGCAGAAGAAGCACCGGCUAACUCCGUGCCAGCAGCCGCGGUAAUACGGAGGGUGCAAGCGUUAAUCGGAAUUACUGGGCGUAAAGCGCACGCAGGCGGUUUGUUAAGUCAGAUGUGAAAUCCCCGGGCUCAACCUGGGAACUGCAUCUGAUACUGGCAAGCUUGAGUCUCGUAGAGGGGGGUAGAAUUCCAGGUGUAGCGGUGAAAUGCGUAGAGAUCUGGAGGAAUACCGGUGGCGAAGGCGGCCCCCUGGACGAAGACUGACGCUCAGGUGCGAAAGCGUGGGGAGCAAACAGGAUUAGAUACCCUGGUAGUCCACGCCGUAAACGAUGUCGACUUGGAGGUUGUGCCCUUGAGGCGUGGCUUCCGGAGCUAACGCGUUAAGUCGACCGCCUGGGGAGUACGGCCGCAAGGUUAAAACUCAAAUGAAUUGACGGGGGCCCGCACAAGCGGUGGAGCAUGUGGUUUAAUUCGAUGCAACGCGAAGAACCUUACCUGGUCUUGACAUCCACAGAACUUUCCAGAGAUGGAUUGGUGCCUUCGGGAACUGUGAGACAGGUGCUGCAUGGCUGUCGUCAGCUCGUGUUGUGAAAUGUUGGGUUAAGUCCCGCAACGAGCGUAACCCUUAUCCUUUGUUGCCAGCGGUCCGGCCGGGAACUCAAAGGAGACUGCCAGUGAUAAACUGGAGGAAGGUGGGGAUGACGUCAAGUCAUCAUGGCCCUUACGACCAGGGCUACACACGUGCUACAAUGGCGCAUACAAAGAGAAGCGACCUCGCGAGAGCAAGCGGACCUCAUAAAGUGCGUCGUAGUCCGGAUUGGAGUCUGCAACUCGACUCCAUGAAGUCGGAAUCGCUAGUAAUCGUGGAUCAGAAUGCCACGGUGAAUACGUUCCCGGGCCUUGUACACACCGCCCGUCACACCAUGGGAGUGGGUUGCAAAAGAAGUAGGUAGCUUAACCUUCGGGAGGGCGCUUACCACUUUGUGAUUCAUGACUGGGGUGAAGUCGUAACAAGGUAACCGUAGGGGAACCUGCGGUUG